UGUUUAUAUGGUUCACCACUAUGGCUUUACAUUGAGAAACUAAUUUAGAUAAAGCAUGGAAACCAAAAAGCUAUGAGGAGAAAAAAGUAAUUUAACCUGCAUUAGUAUUUUUAAUCACUUAAAAAAAAAACUCAAACACAUCAUUAACAACACAAACUAUUCGGCUAGAAUACCUUCGCCUUUGAAAAAUUAAUUACAAAAAAGGUAGAAACAUAAAAUCAAUUAUAAAUUUGUUCCAAGGCACGAAAACCAUCCAACUAUGUUCAAAUGACGAUGGAAAACAACUAAAAACUCUUGAAAUCAUGCAUUAAAAAAAAAAAAACACAAACACACCCACAU
rnacentral:lncRNA from 1 species